rnacentral:rRNA from 1 species
AACGAACGCUGGCGGCGCGUUUUAAGCAUGCAAGUCGAACGGGAUCCUGGUGCUUGCACCGGGUGAGAGUGGCGAACGGGUGAGUAACGCGUAGAUGAUCUACCUUUUGGUUGGGGAUAGCUCAUGGAAACAUGGGGUAAUACCGAAUAAGAUCCUUUUGCUGUGGCGGAGGGAUGAAAGGGGCUUCGGCCUCGCCGGAAGAUGAGUCUGCGUAUGAUUAGCUAGUUGGUGUGGUAAAGGCGCACCAAGGCGACGAUCAUUAGCCGGCCUGAGAGGGUGACCGGCCACAUUGGGACUGAGACACGGCCCAGACUCCUACGGGUGGCAG